AAGACGCGGGAACGCAAGCUCAUGUAUUUCCCCAGCACACACCAGGAGAAGCUUCCUGAAUCUUGGUGCACUGCAAUAUUAAUCAUGAUUACCGACCCCCUGGCUUAGCAAUUAUGUACACUCUUUUCUGCUGGGUUCCUACCAACGUAUUAAAAAUUAAUAUAAUUUACAUACGUUUCUGCAGACCUCUUAGUAAUGCAUUAACACGCAAAAUUAUAAUAAAACAGCCACUGCACCGAGGAAGACUAAGGAGGAGGAGCGGUUCACCCAGGGAUUAUCUGUAUGUAAGGAACAAGAUGGCUGAGAAAAACCCGGACUUGUACUGUGACGCCUGGCUGCUGUGCUCGGCUCCAUGAUCCACUAGAACAGAAAACGAUGCUAAGAACUGACUACAAUUAGCGAACAAACACUAAACAAGCCCCUUACCUCUCGUCAGACGCCACCACAGCGCCACCGCCACAAAGACAACACAAAAUUAACACCAAGAAAUUAGUUAUUGAAGGAGAUAAAUAGCAAAUGGAGACUCACAGAAUGGCAGUACGCGUGCAACACCUCGUCCCCUACAGCAGGAUCAACAGAAAGGUCGCCAAGUACAGCCAUAUCCACAGGUCUUCUUUCCCUCCCCUCAUUUACAUCUGAACGUCUUCCCCUCGUAUCCUCUUCCCCAGCACGGCGUUUUACGAAAGCGCGGAUUGGCAUAUCAAAAGCGCGGAAAACGUUGCUGAUAUAUUGCUAUCAAAAGCGCGUUAGAAUAUCAAGUCAAAAGCGCGUUUUAUCACUCACCUCUAAGUCAGAUUGUUUAUACGUUCAAUAACGAUCGUUCACCUGUUGUAGGAAAAAUUGUAUAUUUGUUAAUUAAGUAUAGGAUUGACCUUUUAAGUAUAUUCUUCUUGCACCUUAGUACAGGCUUGUCCUUGCAGUCCUUUGAUAUACGCUCGAUUGCUGCCGCCUCAGGACACUAGGAGCAUUGCGGAAGCGCUGAGGAAGACAUCACAACCCUUGACACAGCGAACACAACUCAGUACUGAGGCUGGCACUGGCUUCUCCCAACACCUCACGUGGUCAUUGCAACAAAAGGAGGUAACUCCCGCCUCCAGCACCACCGCCAUAUACUCGCCUCGCUCUCUCUCUCUCUCUCCCUGCCGGCCAUAUUGACACUCAGGUAACGUGAUAUGACCAGUGCCGGGAAUCUGAUGGCGCGGAAUGUGCUGAGGAUAGUGAAUGGGGGAGAAGGCAUGAUGCUACUCAUGCUGCGGGUA